rnacentral:rRNA from 1 species
AUUGAACGCUGGCGGCAGGCCUAACACAUGCAAGUCGAACGAGUGGCGGACGGGUGAGUAAUGUCUGGGAAACUGCCUGAUGGAGGGGGAUAACUACUGGAAACGGUAGCUAAUACCGCAUACCAUCGGAUGUGCCCAGAUGGGAUGAGCUAGUAGGUGGGGUAACGGCUCACCUAGGCGAAGAUCCCUAGCUGGUCUGAGAGUAUGACCAUCCACACUGUAACUGAGACAGGGCGCAGACUCCUACGGGAGGCAGCGGUGGGGAAUCUUGCACAAUGGGCGCAAGCUGGAGGCAGCCAUGCCGCGUGUAUGAAGAAGGCCUUCGGGUUGUAAAGGACGUUCAGCGGGGAGGCGUUACCCGCAGAAGAAGCACCGGCUAACUCCGUGCCAGCAGCCGCGGUAAUAC